AGUACACUGUCUUACAAUUUCAAUUAAAAUAUUUAAAAAACUUUUAAUUUCUCCGCAAACCUUUUCUUAUCUCUUGAGUCCUGAGUGCUGAGCCUAAGUAGUAGUAUAUAGCGAAAUGUCGGAGAUAGCGUAUGGAACAGCUGUGAUAGGAGCAGGGAUGAUCGGGUCAGCAGCAGCUCGUUAUUUACCCGUAGGUCAAUCUGACCGACCUAAUAUACUCAUAGGACCCAUAGAAUCCCAGAGUAGUGAAACGGGAGUAUACGGAGCCUGGUUUGAUGAAGGACGGAUUACAAGAGUAUUUGAUAUUUCACAGACAUGGAGAAAUCUAGCUAAAUUUUCCAUAGAAAGGUAUAGGGAGAUAGAACGUGAAUCAGGGAUUUCAUUCUUCUCAGAGGUUGGAUAUCUCACUGUUGUCAGAAGAGAUUACAAUAACAUGGAGAAAUUUCAGGAAACCGCAGAAAUUCUUCGAGAAGAAGGAUAUAGAUGUGAGUACCUGGAGGAGAAGGAUUUAUCUGUAAAAUUUCCCUAUCUCAAGUUCCCUCCUGAUGUAGUUGGUUUCUAUCAACCUGACAAAUCUGGAUAUUUGAAUCCUCGUUCUCUUAUCAGAGCAGAACAGGAACUCGCUUCUGCUCGUGGAGUUGUGAGAAAACAGGAUGUAGUGGUGGAACUAAGACGAAUAGAGAACAGGUUCCAUCUUCUACUCGGCUCAGGAGAAAGAUUGGUCUGUAACAAGGUCCUCCUGGCUACCGGAGCAUACAUCAAUAUUUCAGAUAUUCUCCAGGAUAUUGUCCCUGAUUUGGACCUGGAGCUGAAACUUGUCGGACAAACUGUCGGAUAUAUUCAAGUAUCUGAGGAGGAUGUAUUAAAGAUCAAAACCAUGCCGAACAUAAUCACAAGUUAUGAGUCUGGAGAACUAGAUGGAACCUAUAUCCUCCCUCCUAUUCAGUAUCCAGAUGGAAACUAUUAUAUAAAAAUUGGACAUCAUGACAAGUUUGAAAGAGAACUGCUGAGUAAGGAAGACGUUGAAAAUUGGUAUAGAUCAGGAAAAGGGGACGCCGAAGCUGUUCUAGAAUUCACUAAAUUUAUCAGAAAUCUAAUUCCAGAAAUUCAAGGGUUUAACGUAUCUGGAGGAUGCUGUGUUACAAGUUGUACAAAAGAUAAAGAUGCCCCCUUAUUAAGACAGGUAUACCCUGGAAUACAGAAAUAAGGAAGAACAGUAUAGUUACCCUGGUUAUACCCUUGAAUACCGAAGUAAGGAAGAUUACUCUAGGUAUACCCUGGACUAGUUGUAGCUGGAGGUGGAUGUGGAUUUGCUGCUAAAUCUUGU
rnacentral:misc_RNA from 1 species